ensembl:lncRNA
UCAGGCUGGAUGGGGCUCUGAGCAGCCUGAUCUGCUGCAGGUGUCCCUGUUCAUUGCAGGGGGGGUUGGACUGGAUGGCCUUUAAGGAUUCCUUCCAACUUAAAUGAUUUCACGAUUCUAUGAUUCUAUGGAAUACCUAAGCAAAUAGAAUUUCUAAAUGUAAGAGGAGAAACAUAUGAACACUAUAACUGGACUUACUGACUGCUAGAGGCAGACAAUACUCCUUCUUAUCUUCUAUCAAGCAUUCUUGAAACUUGUAACCUGUACAAUGAGAAAAUAUGGGGGCUUUCUGGUGGUUCAUCAUCUUUUCUCCUUAUUUCCUUUUCUUGUACUUGUGGUUGAAUAAUGCAAUGGUUAAUUAUUUGUCCCCUGUAGUUUUUGAGGGAAAUACAAGUGAAUUCAUGAAUUUUCAGACAGUGUGUGAGUUCCCAUGGUAAAAGCUGGAAUUAGCAAAUUUCUGUCAUGGCUUAGUGAGGAUCAAGAAGAGAUGCAAGAGGCAUGUGAACUUCUGUCUGCCCAUACAUACGUAGUCACCCUCACCGGUGCUUGGUCUAGUCAGCACUGGCAUAGACCCUUUCCUUAGGGGGAAAUUGUACUUCUUUAUCAGAGCAUAAGCCCUGCUAGAACUGUGAUUUACUUUUCAUUUGUGAGGCCUAAAACGAACCACUUACUGUCACCAGCAGUUCAUGCAUUUGGCUGCUCAGCCAACUGCACACCAGAAACGUCCUUGACUUGACAGAGCGGGGAUGAGCUGCAGGUCUAGAAUCUUUGCUGGUAGUCUGUAACAGUCUGUUGGUUAAGCUACCAAAUGCUUGCAUAGUAGAGGACAGAUAGGAAAGCAUGUAUUGGAGUGAAAGAAGAGCCAGAUACGGUGAACUCCCUGAAUGCUGUUGAAGGACUAUCCAAGUCUUGUAGUGCCCAGCCUUCUUGUAAAUACUUUGUGAAACAACCAUGUUGAGGGUGAAAUAAUAGUUGGGAUACACAUAUACCUGGGUACUGAGAAUCACCUGUGGUCUCAGACAGGAUCCACACAAGGAAAAGAGCAUAGAGGUAUAGACAGUGUAUGCACAGUGACAUAGCAUAGCACAGGAAUACAAGCCCAAAUGUUUGUAUGGGUUAUUUGCGAUAUAGCUGUAACUUAAUGUUUUUUUGCUAUUCAUAGAUAUAAUAUCUUUUCUCUCUUGCACUACGUGUGGUUAAAGCUUUCUUCUGCCUCAGACCUCCUGAAAUAGAAAUGACAUCAUUUAUCAGUGCGCCAGAAAGCACUCUGACAGUUCUGUUACCUCAUUAUCAGAUCACAGUUGUGUCACUUCACAUUAAUUAUGCCUGAAUAUGUAAGGCUGGAUUAGUUCUGUAAGGCCAAUUUACAGUAUCAGAGGUUGUGAUAUUGCUCUGUUGACAACCACCGGCUUCUGUUUGUCACCUGCACUGCCCCUGGACAGAGCAUGAUGGCUGAGGGGAAGGCUGCUUUCAGCUAGGUCAAGAACAGCACCACCUCAGCAAAUUGUCUGGCUUGUAAUUUAGCUUUGGGAAAUGGUUUUCUUUCAGGAAAGAAAAUUUAUUUUUUUU